UUCCUGUGGCUCAGUUGGUAGAGCAUUGCUCUAACAAUGCUAAGGUCAUGGCUUCAAAUUCCAGGGAAA